NNUGUACUCCCUCCAUUCCAAAAUACUUGACUUCCAUUUGUCCAAAAAUGGAUGUACCUAUAUACUAAAACAUGUCUAGAUACAUAUAUAUUUUGACAAAUAGAAGGCAUGUAUUGUGCAACGGAGGGAGUAGAAU
rnacentral:pre_miRNA from 1 species